UAAAUUUUAGUUUAAAAAAAAUUUAAUAUUUACAAUAUUAAGAUAUAAGAAUUUAUAAAUUUAA
rnacentral:tRNA from 1 species